GACGAACGCUGGCGGCGUGCCUAAUACAUGCAAGUCGAACGGAGUGGGGACGGGUGAGUAACACGUGAGUAGCCUCCCAUCAGAGGGGAUGACACUUGGAAACAGGUGUUAAACCGAUACUGAUGGAUGGGCCGGCGAUGCAUUAGCUAUGUGGUGAGGUAAAGGCUCACCAAGGCAACGAUGCGUAACUGGUCUGAGAGGAUGAUCGGUCACACUGUGACGGAGACACGGUCAAGACUCCUACGGGAGGCAGCAGUAGGGAAUCUUGGACAAUGGACGAAAGUCUGACCGAGCCAUGCCGCGUGAGUGAAGAAGGUCUUCGGAUCGUAAAGCUCUUUUGUUUGAGAAGCGUUAUCAACCGAGUAAGCCACGGCUAACUACGUGCCAGCAGCCGCGGUAAUAC
rnacentral:rRNA from 1 species